AGUGAACGCUGGCGGUAGGCCUAACACAUGCAAGUCGAACGGCAGCACAGUAAGAGCUUGCUCUUACGGGUGGCGAGUGGCGGACGGGUGAGGAAUACAUCGGAAUCUACUUUUUCGUGGGGGAUAACGUAGGGAAACUUACGCUAAUACCGCAUACGACCUACGGGUGAAAGCAGGGGAUCUUCUGACCUUGCGCGAUUGAAUGAGCCGAUGUCGGAUUAGCUAGUUGGCGGGGUAAAGGCCCACCAAGUCGACGAUCCGUAGCUGGUCUGAGAGGAUGAUAAGCCACACUGGAACUGAGACACGGUCAAGACUCCUAAGGGAGGCAGCAGUGGGGAAUAUUGGACAAUGGGCGCAAGCCUGAUCCAGCCAUACCGCGUGGGUGAAGAAGGCCUUCGGGGUGUAAAGACCUUUUGUUGGGAAAGAAAAGCAGCAGGUUAAUACGCCGCUGUUCUGACGGUACCCAAAGAAUAAGCACCGGCUAACUACGUG
rnacentral:rRNA from 1 species